AAAAGAAUAAAAAGGCAAGCCACAGGUUGAUAUUUUCAGUAACAUAUUUGACAGAGGACUUGUAUCCAGCCUAUAUAAAGAACUCCUUUAGGUCAAUAAGAAAAAGACAAAAUCAACAAAAGUCUUGAACAAGAAAAUCUUUUUUUAAAUUUAAUUUUAUUGAAAUAUGGUUGACUUACAAUGUUGUAUUAGUUUCAGGUGUACAGCAAAGUCUUAUAAGUAGAUAUCUAAAUAGCCAGUAAGCAGAUUAAAAUGUAUAACAGUAUACAUCCACCCCAAAGGACUAAAAUGUAAAAAAUUGAUAAUACCAAAUAUUGGCAAACCCUCAUACAUUGCUGGUAGGAGUAUAAAUUUGAGCAUUUGGAAAUUUGGAAAACUGUUUAGCAGUAUCUGCUAAAGCCAAGAUUAUACCCAUUCCAUAAACCAUCAAAUCCACUUCCAGGUAUAUACUCAAGAGAAAUGAGUGUGCAUAUCCAACAAUAUUUGUAGUGUUCUUAUUUAUCAAAGCCCCAACUGGAAACAUCUCAAUGCCCCUCCGGUCAACAACAAAAUGGAUAAAUAAAUUGUGUCAUAUCCUUACAAUGGCAUACACCACGGCAGUUUAAGAAAGAACAAACUAUGUCGACACAUAGCAAUGCAGAUGAAUCUCAGACAUGUUGAGCAAAAUAAGUUAGACCUGGAGCUCCCAUUGUGGCUCAGUGGUAAUGAACCUGACUAGUAUCCAUGAAGAUGCAGGUUUGAUCCCUGGCCUCACUCAGUGGGUUAAGAAUCUGGGGUUGCCAUGAGCUGUGGUGUGGGUUGCACACACGGCUAGGAUCCUGUGUUGCUAGAGCUAUGACGUAGGCUGGCACCUGUGGAUCCAAUUUGACCCCUAGCCUGGGAACCUCCAUAUGCCUCAGGUGCAGCCCUAAAAAGACAAAAACAAACAAACAAACAAAAAAGAAGCUAGACACCAAAAAAUAUCUAUUAUAUGAUUCAGUGCCCCUGGAGGAUAGGACCACACUUUUAUCUCUGAAACCCCAGAGCUUUGCACAGUUCCUGUGAUACAUAGCAGGCCCUGAGGAGAAGUUUGUUGACAGAGCGAGUGAAGUAAGAUGUGGACUUUAUUCUUGAAGGUGUUUUCAAGGUAACAUUUGUGUGUGUGUAUUAGGGUUGAAUUAGUCUGGAAGGCAGUUAACAAAUGCUCACAAUUUGCUAUAUAAUGAAGCAGAAAAUACAUGCUGUAAAGAGAAACAGAAAUGAAGCUCUUUUACCAUAAUGGGGGAGGGGGUGGCAAAGGGGCUAUGAAUUCCAGGGAGAAGCAUUCACAGGUGCUCAGGGGACUUGGGGGGCUUCCUGAAAGGGAUAGUAUUGAGUUUUCUUUGACAAGUGGUUGAGAUAACAAGCAGAAAAGUUUCGAGAAGGGCAACUCGGGCUUAGAGAAUGGCAUUAACUAUGUGGUUCUCAAGCCUUAGUGCAUGCCACAAUCAUCUGGAGGACUUACGAAAACACAGGCAGCUGGGUCCCACCCCAGAGAUUGUGGUUCAGUAGCUCUAGGGUGGAACCUGAGAAUUUGCAUUUCUCACAAGUGCCAGGUGAAGCUGAUGCUGAUGCUGGUGGUCUGAGAGCCACGCUUUGGGAACCAUUGGCUAAAUCAGAGCUGGCUGAUCCAGGUAGUUGCAUCUCACUUGAGCCACACUGUUGGGAAAGUGAAGUGUAGGAUGGGAGGAGGGUGUGGACAGGUGGAGAUCUUUGGCUGCUAUCGGAAAAAUUUAAACCUAAUCAUAUAGACUUAGUUUAUUUUUUUUUAUUAUUUUUUAUAUUUUUAUUUUUUCCAUUAUAGUUGAUUUACAGUGUUCUGUCAGCUUCUACUGUGAUCGACUUAAUUUUGGACUACAUGGAUAGGCAUGUGUGCUGACUGGUCUCCAGGAUAUCCCACUCUAGGGUCUGGGUCUCUUCAGCCUGAGGCUUAAGUCUAUACAGAUGUUCAGGUGAUAAAUGCACACUGAGUUUGGCCUCAUAGAGGCAAGCCAUGCACACAGCACACGUGCAGAGUGCAACACAGUUUAUACGUAUAGAUACACAACAAUUGAAGAAAGGCAUUAUUUUAAAUAUGCAGCAUCAGUAUUAUAUAUAGCCAUGCAACACAUAUAUACUCUGGAGAAGGCUUAUGGAAAAAAACCCUGCUGAUCUGACCAUUCAGGCAAAAGCAGCAGUUUUACUUUUAAUAAAAAGAUAAUUACUCUGAAUUUUUCUUUCUUACGAUCCACAGUCCUCCCAGAUUCCCAAGGACAAGGAUACUACACCACAUGCCCAGUCUAUUUCUCUUGCCAGGGAGACAUGUAGAGCCAGGAGGUUUCCCCAAAAUCUUUCUUUGGAAGGAAGAGUUAGUCACUUGGAUGGGAUUUGGGGAAGGAGGCACAUGCUGUGAACCCCCUGAUGAAGAGUCCCUACCCCUCCCUGGGGCUUCCUGACCAGGACACUGGUCUAGCAGGACUACCUUUCUUAGAUGACCCAUGCCCGAAAAGCAGAUGCCAUCUGUCAUUCUGUGUACUGGCUUCCAGUUUUGUCUCUAAUAAGCUCCACUUACUGAAUACCACCUCUCUGCAAAGUCAUCUACUGGGUGUGGUAGAGACACGGAUGAAUCAGCCACAGAUCUGCCCUCUAGAAACAUACAGUUUAAUAAAGGGGAGGGGAGAGGGGAUAGAGGUCAUUCUUGGUCAUUAAACACCCUCCUCUCUGGUCCCUUAUUUCUUCCCUUCACAUCCCCAAUUUAGAUCUAGCUGCUUCCUCUCCCGCUUCCAAGUGUUGGAGGCUGGGGCUCUCACUCAUUCAAUAGGAUCCUGGAGUCACAGAGAUGAGUAAAUCAAGAUGCUUGUGGUCUGGUAGGGAGCCCUUCAUGCCUCAUAACUGAAGAUAGGCCAGUCCUGGGCAGGUGCCUUGCGGCUGCCACCUCUGCUCCUCAGGCCAUGACUAUCAGCUCUGUGCUGAGGAAACCCAAGUUCCCUUGCUGGCUGGGUUCUGCAUUGAUAGAAGGUGCCUAGGGGGCCCACCCUUGCAUCAGUCUGGCCCAGAGAGACCAGACCACAGGCCUCUGGGGGUUGCAGCUGUUGCAUGCACGAUGAUCCACAGGAAAAUGAGAGGGAACUUGGGUGGCUGCCAGUGCCCUGACAACUCUUCAACUCCCAGAAGACCUCCUUGUUCUUGAGUUCUGCCUGACUUUUUCCCUGGGGACGUGGGAACUAGCUUGCUUCCUCCUCACCCUCCACUCCCGUUUGUAAGAGAGUCACCAAAAAGAGAGCAGGGGCCCAGAAAUCAGAACCAGUUUCCUCAUCUGUAGAAUGGGAAUAAGGACCUUGCUUAUUCAUAGUGUUAUUCAGAGGCAUGGGGGAUACAGAGGCAAAAUUCUUAUCUUUAAACUUCCCUGAAGCCUAAUGGGAGAGUUGGACAAGCACACGCACAACAUGAUGGGUACCAUACCAGAGGCACGAUUGUGGGGCAGCAGUGAGUAGUGUAGAGGCAAACUAAUUCUAACAAGGAGAAGCUGCAGAGCUUCGUGUCAGUGCUGUAGGGCUCAGAGCGUGGUGGAAGCAACUCUCCAGGGCUUUGGACUCUAGUGUUUCUUGAGCAUAUGACACUGUGUUAAGCAUUUUACCUGUGUUUUAUUUUGUAAUUCAUAACAAGCCUUUGAGAUAGGUGUUAUCCCCAUUUUACAGAUAAUCAACUGAGGCUCAGAAAAGAUCAUGCAUUGACCUGGCAUAAUAUUUAUUGAGUGCCUCCUACUUGUUAAGUGUCGCAGAUAUAACAGUAAAUUACAGAGACCCAAGUACCCCCCUCAGAGAGCUUGCAUUCCAGAUGGUCACUUGCCCAAGAUGAGUCUGGACCACGCCAAGUUGGGAUUCAAACCCAGGUCUGGUGGCCUCCUGGGCUUGUGCUUUUCCCACUUACCCCAAAACUCACCAUCCCUGAGGACAGUCCUUUCGUGGGGGGCAUAAACUGUCCCCACCAACCCCUCUCAGGCUGGGGGAGGAAUUCAGAGAUUCAGGAGCAAGGCUAGAUUAGAAAUGGGAGAGGAGCUGCUAUUUCUAUAGAACCCUCUAUUUUGAGAGCAUUCCCCAGCAGCCCACCCUCCCUCCAAAGAGGCCGACUGCCUGACCAGGAGGGAUGGAGGGAGGAGCAUCCCUAAGGGGGUUUCAAGGGAGGAUGAGGGUACUAUCUGUGCUCAGGUCAGAGAGUGACACCUUCCUGGCUCAGGUGGGGAAUCCCUUUGGAUUUCACUGGGUUUAUGGGAGGACCUAUUUUCCUACUGCUGAGGACAAGAGUAGGUCAAAGGAUUAAAUCAGCCUCUGGCAUCUGAGUGAACCCUGGGCUCCUUGGGUUCUCGGCUCAGCUCUGCCCUCCCACUGCCCUCAUACUCAGGCUGUCUCUCGAUGCCGUGAGAUCUGGAGCACUCCCACUAGGGCAGUGAUAUUUUCUUUUAACCCAAAGAAACAAUCAGAGAUUUGCAGGUCUUCGCCACUAAAGAAAAAAGCUAUAUACAGGUUUAUUCACUGUCAUAUUUACUCAUGGUAGCAGUCACUUGGAAGCAAUAUACAUGGCCAGUGUUUGAGAAUUGAAUAAAAUAUGGUAAAAGUAAGCAUUCAGUGGGAUACUAUGCAGUCAUUAAAAUCAGGUAGAAGAAAAUGAUGAGUACUUAGAGUAGAUUUAGUCAAAAUUCAUGACAUAAAAAAUGAACACAAAGCAGAAUUUACAACAUGAUCCCAAUUUUUUUUUUCUUUUUUGGCCACUCCAUGGCAUAUGGAGUUCCCCGGGCCAGGAAUCAGAUCUGAGCCGCAGACCUGUGCCACAGCUGUGGCAAUGCCAGAUCCUUUAACUUCCUGUGCCAGGCUGGGGAUCAAACCUGCGUCUUGGUGCUGCAGAGACACUGCCGAUCAGCACUGCACCACAGUGGGAACACUAACAUGAUCCCAUUUUUUAAAAAGUCAUCUAUAUAUGCAUAGAAAAAUGUCUAGAAAGACGCACUCCAAAUGUGAACAAUAGUUAUCUCUGGAUAGUGAAAUUAUAACUUCUCAGCUGCAGCUCCAAUUCAACCCUGGCCUGGGAACUUCCAUAUGCUGCAGGUGUGGCUCUAAAAAGACAAAUAAAAUAAAAUAGU
rnacentral:lncRNA from 1 species